GUUAUGAAGCUAAAAGUGCUCUAACAGUAAAAUUUAUUAAAUAGGAAAAAUAUUCUGAUUUUUUUUCCCUCUUACAGAGAGCUAACCUCAAAGUGACUUUGAGAAAGGCUUCAUAGGAGACAUGAUGUCUGAGUCUCACAACUGUAGCAUUUAUCAAGCUAUGAAAGAAAAUGGUGGUGGUAAAGAAAGAACCAUAAAGAAGAAGAAACACGGAAAUGGGAUGGUGACAAUGGAGUCCAGCAGCCCACAGUCAAGACAACUUUUAAUAUCCAUCCCAUUACCCCAUAGCAGCAACGAACUGUGGCAUCUAUUAUGGAGAGCAGUCGGAGGCGGUGUCUCUGAGCUGCACCUUGCAUGAGAAAAGAGGUCAGAUUUACCAUGACUCGCGGGUGUGAGCAGUGCACUGAAGUGGCAGUGCCAUCAGUGAAGGGGUGUGGGUGAUUUAUGGAGUUAGAAACAAAAGGGACAAAUAGCCACACAUACUGAUGACCUAUGCUGACAAUUCCAACGAUACAACUGUAAGAGAAAAAGGCAUUGGAUUCUUAGAUGAGUUCUCAGUUUCCUAAACUGAUUGGAAAUGGGCAGCACAUGAACAAUAUCAAGUGUCAACUUGGUCACAGAGAUCACCUCAUCAAUGUGGUCAGAAAGGACAGAGGCCAUCAAGUCAGUCUGAAGGAAGAGAUGAUGGAUGUUACAGUGAAAAAUAAAUAAAAGGAUUCAUAAAAAC